GCCGGGCGUGGUGAUGCACACCUGUAAUCCUAGCUACUUGGGAGGCUGAGGCAGGAGAAUUGCUUGAACCCAGGAGGCAGAGGUUGCAGUGAGCCAAGAUUGUGCCACUGCAUUCCAUCCUGGGUGACAGAGCAAAACUCCGUCUCAA
ensembl:misc_RNA Metazoa_SRP Metazoan signal recognition particle RNA